rnacentral:rRNA from 1 species
UACGGAGGGUGCAAGCGUUAUCCGGAUUCACUGGGUUUAAAGGGUGCGUAGGCGGAUUAGAAAGUCCGUUGUGAAAUCUCUGAGCUUAACUCGGAAAUUGCGGUGGAUACUAUUAGCCUUGAAUACUGUGGAGGUUAGCGGAAUAUGUCAUGUAGCGGUGAAAUGCAUAGAUAUGACAUAGAACACCAAUUGCGAAGGCAGCUGGCUACACAGAUAUUGACGCUGAGGCACGAAAGCGUGGGGAUCAAACAGG